rnacentral:rRNA from 1 species
UACGAGGGGGGCUAGCGUUGCUCGGAAUCACUGGGCGUAAAGCGCACGUAGGCGGAUUCUUAAGUCAGGGGUGAAAUCCUGGAGCUCAACUCCAGAACUGCCUUUGAUACUGGGAAUCUCGAGUCCGGGAGAGGUGAGUGGAACUGCGAGUGUAGAGGUGAAAUUCGUAGAUAUUCGCAAGAACACCAGUGGCGAAGGCGGCUCACUGGCCCGGUACUGACGCUGAGGUGCGAAAGCGUGGGGAGCAAACAGG